rnacentral:rRNA from 1 species
CCUACGGGUGACUGCAGUGAGGAAUCUUGGUCAAUGGGCGUAAGCCUGAACCAGCCAAGUCGCGUGAGGGAUGAAGGUUCUAUGGACCGUAAACCUCUUUUAUAAGGGAUAAAGUUGUGGGACGUGUCCUUUUUCGUUUGUACCUUAUGUAUCAGGAUCGGCUAACGCCGUGCCAGCAGCCGCGGCAAUACGGAGGAUCGGAGCGUUAUCCGGAUUUAUUGGGUGUAACGGGUGCGUAGGCGGUCUUUUAAGUCAGCGGUGAAAGUCUGUGGCUCAACCAUAGAAUUGCCGUUGAAACUGGGAGGCUUGAGUAUGUUAGAGGCAGGCGGAAUGCGUGGUGUAGCGGUGAAAUGCGUAGAUAUCACGCAGAACCCCGAUGGCGAAGGCAGCCUGCCAAGCCAUGACUGACGCUGAUGCACGAAAGCGUGGGGAUCAAACAGGAUUAGAUACCCGAGUAGUC